AUUUGACAGUAGGCUGCAUGUGUAUUUUUUUAUAAAUAUUUUUUUACAUAGGAUUGAGGGUCAAGGACACCAAGGUGGAAGGGGCCCUAUGUUCACUCGUGCACAAGAGGCCGCCAUUGUGAACAUAGUUUUGACCAAUAAUUGUAUCAGGUUGCGAGAAAUCCAAGCCAAUAUCAUCAAGGACCAUAUUUUCAAUAACAUCCAACGAGUCUCUCUGUCAACAUUAUGUCGAAUCCUCAAGAAAAAUCUAAUAUACAUGAAGCAACUGUAUCGGGGACCAUUUGACAGAAAUUCAGAGAGAGUAUGUGCAAUGAGUAUGUGGAGAGAGUCUUGCAAAUGGAUGCUGCAGAAAUUCAACAUGAAUUUAUUUAUGUGGAUGAAGCUGGAUUUAACCUUGCGAAAACAAGAAGAGGGAGAAAUGUAAUUGGACACAGGGCAAUCACCAAUGUGCCAGGGCAGUGAGGGGGUAACAUCACCCUUUGCGCUGCUAUUACACAAAAUGGGGUCCUCCCCCACCAUGCAAAUCUGGGACCCAAUAAUGCAAAUCUAAUACUUGCAUUUCUUGACAGAUUGCACGAGAUUGUCACAGCAUUAAACCAAGUGGACCAGAUGCGGUACAUUGUUGUUUGGGACAAUGUCUCAUUCCAUCGGGCUGCUCUGGUCCAGUAUUGGUUCCAUGAGCACCCUGAAUUUGAAGUCUUAUACCUUCCCCCAUACUCCCACUUCCUGAAUCCAAUAGAAGAGUUUUUUUCAGCAUGGUGGUGGAAGGUAUACGACCUGCGGCCCUAUGACCGUUUGCCCCUCAUUCAGGCCAUGGAGCCUGUGAUCAUAUCGAAGAAGCUUCUGUGCAGGGGUGGAUUCGUCACAUGAGGCGAUUCUUCCAACGGUGCCUUGCCAAUGAAGACAUAGCCUGUGAUGUGGAUGAAAUCUUAUGGCCUGAUCCAGCCAGAUGGAGAAAUUAUGAAUAGUUACACUAUUCUUGUUGCUUUUACAGUAGUUUUUCU
ensembl:lncRNA